rnacentral:rRNA from 1 species
CAGUCGAACGCGUCUUGGUUAUUGAUGUUAGAUGCUUGCAUUUAACUGAUUUAACAUUGAGACGAGUGGCGAACUGGUGAGUAACACGUGGGUAACCUGCCCUUGAAGUAGGGGAUAACACUUGGAAACAGGUGCUAAUACCGUAUAACAACCAAAACCACCUGGUUUUGGUUUAAAAGAUGGCUUCGGCUAUCACUUUAGGAUGGACCCGCGGCGUAUUAGCUUGUUGGUAAGGUAACGGCCUACCAAGGCAAUGAUACGUAGCCGACCUGAGAGGGUAAUCGGCCACAUUGGGACUGAGACACGGCCCAAACUCCUACGGGAGGCAGCAGUAGGGAAUCUUCCACAAUGGACGAAAGUCUGAUGGAGCAACGCCGCGUGAGUGAUGAAGGGUUUCGGCUCGUAAAACUCUGUUGUUGGAGAAGAACAGGUGUGAGAGUAACUGUUCACAUCUUGACGGUAUCCAACCAGAAAGCCACGGCUAACUACGUGCCAGCAGCCGCGGUAAUACGUAGGUGGCAAGCGUUGUCCGGAUUUAUUGGGCGUAAAGCGAGCGCAGGCGGUUUCUUAGGUCUGAUGUGAAAGCCUUCGGCUUAACCGGAGAAGUGCAUCGGAAACCAGGAGACUUGAGUGCAGAAGAGGACAGUGGAACUCCAUGUGUAGCGGUGAAAUGCGUAGAUAUAUGGAAGAACACCAGUGGCGAAGGCGGCUGUCUGGUCUGUAACUGACGCUGAGGCUCGAAAGCAUGGGUAGCGAACAGGAUUAGAUACCCUGGUAGUCCAUGCCGUAAACGAUGAGUGCUAAGUGUUGGAGGGUUUCCGCCCUUCAGUGCUGCAGCUAACGCAUUAAGCACUCCGCCUGGGGAGUACGACCGCAAGGUUGAAACUCAAAGGAAUUGACGGGGGCCCGCACAAGCGGUGGAGCAUGUGGUUUAAUUCGAUGC